rnacentral:rRNA from 1 species
AGUGAACGCUGGCGGUAGGCCUAACACAUGCAAGUCGAACGGCAGCACAGUAAGAGCUUGCUCUUACGGGUGGCGAGUGGCGGACGGGUGAGGAAUACAUCGGAAUCUACUUUUUCGUGGGGGAUAACGUAGGGAAACUUACGCUAAUACCGCAUACGACCUACGGGUGAAAGCAGGGGAUCUUCGGACCUUGCGCGAUUGAAUGAGCCGAUGUCGGAUUAGCUAGUUGGCGGGGUAAAGGCCCACCAAGGCGACGAUCCGUAGCUGGUCUGAGUGGAUGAUCAGCCACACGGGAACUGAGACACGGUCCAGACUCCUACGGGAGGCAGCAGUGGGGAAUAUUGGACAAUGGGCGCAAGCCUGAUCCAGCCAUACCGCGUGGGUGAAGAAGGCCUUCGGGUUGUAAAGCCCUUUUGUUGGGAAAGAAAAGCAGCAGGUUAAUACCCCGCUGUUCUGACGGUACCCAAAGAAUAAGCACCGGCUAACUUCGUG